GGCAGCAGCUAAGAAUAUUCCGCAAUGGACGAAAGUCUGACGGAGCGACGCCGCGUGGAUGAUGAAGGCCGGAAGGUUGUAAAAUCCUUUUAUGACUGAGGAAUAAGUGAAGUGAGAGAAACGCUUCAUGGUGACUGUAGGUCAUGAAUAAGCAACGGCUAAUUACGUGCCAGCAGCCGCGGUAACACGUAAGUUGCGAGCGUUGUUCGGAAUUAUUGGGCGUAAAGGGUAUGUAGGCGGUUCUGCAAGUCUGGUGUGAAAUACCGGGGCUCAACCCCGGAACUGCGUUGGAAACUGCAGGACUUGAAUCGCUGAGGGGCAGCCAGAAUUCCAGGUGUAGGGGUGAAAUCUGUAGAUAUCUGGAAGAAUACCAAUGGCGAAGGCAGGCUGCCAGCAGAUGAUUGACGCUGAGGUACGAAGGUGCGGGGAGCAAACAGGAUUAGAUACCCUGGUAGUCCGCACAGUCAACUAUGUACACUGGGUGUCCGCUCAUGAGAGUGGGUGCCGAAGCAAACGCGAUAAGUGUACCGCCUGGGGAGUAUGCCCGCAAGGGUGAAACUCAAAGGAAUUGACGG
rnacentral:rRNA from 1 species